rnacentral:rRNA from 1 species
UUACAGCCAUAUCACAUUGAAACACCAGUUCUUGUAUGAUCACUGAAGUUAAGUAACAUCAAGCCUGGUCAGUACCUAGAUGGGUGACCACUUAGGAAUACCAGGUGAUGUA